rnacentral:tRNA from 1 species
GUGGGUAUAGCUUGGUGGUAGAGUGUGUGUUUAGCAUGCAUGAGGCCCUAGGUUCAAUCCCUAGUGCCACCA